GUGCUAGCUUUGGUGGCAUAUUCUAAAAGACUGGAACAAUACAGAGAAGAUUAGCAUGGUCCUUAUUUAAGAAUGACGUGCAAAUUUGUGGUGAUAUGUAUUCAUGU
rnacentral:snRNA from 1 species